AGAGGCCAUGGGAUAGUGGGGCCGGAUCCCGGAACGCUGAACCCGGAGCAACUGGAGCAGUUGCGAGAUUUCAAGAUCCAGACUCGGAUCGCAAAUGAAAAGUACUUGAGAACCCACAAAGAGGUGUCUCUGCUCAUCAGCGGCUUCUUCAGAGAAAUGUUUCUGAAAAGACCGGACAACAUUCUUGAAUUUGCUGCACACUAUUUCACGGAUCCAAGACUUCCCAGCAGAAUUCACAUGCAGCUAAUUAAAGAGAAGAAAGGAACCUAAUUAGCAAAGCCACAAUGCUCAGCUGCUGGGAGAAGCCAGAAGGAAUCAAGCUUUGGGGUCAUCUGGAGCCCUGAGAGCAGCAUUGCCACCAGUGUGGAUUUCCAAGCUGUGUGGGCCUUCUCCUAUCAGGGGCCUUUAAGAUACUGAUUAAACCCAGAUCUGCCUGC
rnacentral:lncRNA from 1 species